CCAGAUCGGAGCCAUAGCUGAAAAAGCCCUGGCUCUGGUUGAGGCCAGCCUAACCUUCCUGUGGCCCGGGACCUCCAAGAUGUUUUUGUUUGAAGACCGUAAGGUCCUCUGUGGGACAUACCAGGAGAGGCGGUCCCAUAGGUACGAGGGUCCUAGGCUGUAUAGGGCUUUAAAGGUUAAAACCAGCACCUUAAACCUGAUCCUGUACUCCACCGGGAGCAGCUGGUAUAGCACUGGGUGAAUGUGAUCCCGCAGCAAGGACCCUGUAAGGAGUCUCGCCGCGGCAUUCUGCACCCGCUGGAGUUUCUGGUGCCUGUAGGAAACCCUUAAACAGGACCCCAGCACAAGAGCCAGUCUCCCCUCCUGUUGCUUCCAGCAACUGGUGUUCAGAAGCAUCAUUGCCUCUGACCAUGGAAGGAACAUAGGAAUCUGCCUUAUACUGAGGUGUUGCACACACACGAUGCCUUUGAAGCAUAUUCGAGGCACAUUUCUCUCUCUCAAAGAAUUCUGGGCACUGUAGUUUAUCCCUCGCAGAUUUGCAAUUUCCAGCAACCCCUUAGCAAAUUAAUUACAAGUCAAAACUUGUAGAAAGGGGCAGGGAAGCAAGCCUGUAAGCAGGAGCUCAGCACAAGCGGACGCUUUCCUCCUGUGCUGGGAAGGCAAAGUGUGAGUCACAGUCAACCCAUGUAUAUAGAUAGCAUGGUACUCUUGCUUGCUUGCUCUUAAGGAAAAUAUAUUUCUUAGGGAGCGGGGAGCAGAAUAUCCUC